rnacentral:rRNA from 1 species
UACGUAGGGUGCAAGCGUUGUUCGGAAUUACUGGGCGUAAAGGGCGCGUAGGCGGCCUGCUAAGUCGAACGUGAAGUCCCUGGGCUCAACCCAGGAACUGCGUCCGAUACUGGCAGGCUUGAAUCCGGGAGAGGGAUGCGGAAUUCCAGGUGUAGCGGUGAAAUGCGUAGAUAUCUGGAGGAACACCGGUGGCGAAGGCGGCAUCCUGGACCGGCAUUGACGCUGAGGCGCGAAAGCUAGGGGAGCAAACGGG